ACAUCCCUCCUGUCCCCGCCUCCCGCAGCGGUGCAACGCGGCCGCAUCCCGCACUCGCUGCCGGGCGCCGUGGCCGCCUCCUCGGGCAGCCCCCCGGGCUCGGCGCUGGCGGCGGUGGCGGGCGGCGGAGACCUCUUCCCCGGGCAGCCGGUGUCCGAGCUGAUCGCGCAGCUGCUGCGCGCGGAGCCCUACCCGGCGGCGGCCGGGCGCUUCGGCGCGGGGGGCGGCGCGGCAGGCGCGGUGCUGGGCAUCGACAACGUGUGCGAGCUGGCGGCGCGGCUGCUCUUCAGCACCGUGGAGUGGGCGCGCCACGCGCCCUUCUUCCCCGAGCUGCCGGUGGCCGACCAGGUGGCGCUGCUGCGCCUGAGCUGGAGCGAGCUCUUCGUGCUGAACGCGGCGCAGGCGGCGCUGCCCCUGCACACGGCGCCGCUGCUGGCCGCCGCCGGCCUCCACGCCGCACCCAUGGCCGCCGAGCGCGCCGUGGCCUUCAUGGACCAGGUGCGCGCCUUCCAGGAGCAGGUGGAUAAGCUGGGCCGCCUGCAGGUCGACUCGGCCGAGUACGGCUGCCUCAAGGCCAUCGCGCUCUUCACGCCUGGUGAGCCGCGCUCCAAAGGGGGGCAGUGGGGUGGGGGGGACCCAAGGGCGGUUGGGAAGAGGAUGGCCAGGACCCAGACUCCAGCCCCCAUGGCGCCCCGCUCCCCAGGCCUGGCGCCCUGCACGCGCUGUGAGCGAGCGGUCGUGGGUGGCCGUAGAGGGAUGAUGUAAGCAGUGUGACACUGUGACACCCCCACUCCGUGAUCUCAAGACGCUCGGAGAACUCUGAACCACGGAUCCCAGACCCAUCUUCCUGUUCCCAGGGUCCCCGAGACCCCUCCUCCCUCACCACAGGGCCCUUCAUGCUUAGUGAGCACUGAUAGCACAAAGUUGGGGGGAUGUGGGAGGAAAGGUCCUGACCCCUCGCUUCUGGCCCCCUCAGGCCCCCACUGCCUGAUUCCUGGGCCCGGUGCAACCUCCAGGUAGCCAGGGACCCAGGGAUGUAGGGAUUUAGGUGGGGGUGUGGCUCGGAGGCCCCUCCCAUUGAGGGGCGGGGCAGCCCCAGAAUCUUCUUAACAUAAACAUCAACUUUCUAUCAGUGGCAGCCCAACCGUAUUCCAGUACCUGUCGGUGCAGCUAGCUUUGUUUUUCCACUUUAUCUUUUUAUUU